UCCAGACUCACAUAUGAAACUUCAGGAUCAACAUUUCCAUUUGAGUGUCUAGAGGGCAUCUCAAACAUAAUCUCCUGUCUUCUCAACUACAGAUUGGGUUGAGCAGAACACAGAUAAUACAGAAGUACAUUUUUUUUCCAGAUUAAACUAGGCUAACUUCACCUAAAAAAAAAAAAGUUAUGUGAGGAUGCUUGUAAAGAGUUUCAAAGGAAGUAAAAUGGAAUAAACCUACACUGUGGUCAAUCCCUUAGGGUAGAAGCUAAACUGACAAAACUGGAGACAACCCAAAAAUCCACUAGUAGGCACUGGCUGAAUAAAGUGUGGCUCAUUUACAUAAUGGAAGAAUACACAGCUCUACCAUGAAAUAAGGAAAAACUACGUAAACUACUAUCAAAUCUUCAGGAUACAAAAUAAUCUGAAAAAACAAGCAAAGAAAAUGUAUACUGUUUGGUGUUAUUUAUCUACAUAAAUGGUUGGGUUCUGAUCUCCUAAGACUGGCGUCACUACAAGAAGAGACACCGGAGAGCUCUCUUUCUCUCCAUCUCUUUUCCUCUCUCUUGCAAGCACUCCCGCCAGCUGCCCACAAUAUGAGGACAGUGAGAAGACUGUCACCUGCAAGCCAUGAAGCGAGUCCUCACCAGAAAUGGAGCCUGUCAGACCUUGGUCUGAGACUUCUAGCCUCUGGAACUUUCUGAAAAUAAACUUCUGUUGUUUAAACCAUCCACUGUAUGGUAUUUUCCCACGGCAGGUUGAGGUAAUACAGAGCUUUACUGUCAUCCUCAGAAGCAUCAACUGGAUUUGUAUACAUUAUGAUGAAAAAGACCUGAAAAUUUCACACAGAUUAAAUGCUUUCACUUAUUUCUCAGUUUUAUACUAGUGCUUUCUUUAGACUCUUCAAAUUGCAUGUCCUUCCUUAUGUUCCCUGGGCAUUGACUUAUUAGUUCCUGGGUAAAAUUUAACAAAGGCUAUGCCACAGGUCUAGGAUUAGUCAUUUUCACAAUCUUGGAUUUCUCAAUAACUAUGACUACAUUCCCCUUAAAUAUGAGUUCCUUAGAAAAUCUGUUUUUAUUAUUUGGACAUAGUGCCUGGUGAUAAUAGACAGCCUAUGCUUUUUUGUCUUUCCCCUGAACUAGAAUUCAAAUGAAGGAUAUGCUAAACACAGCUGUUGCUGUGUAUAAUGACAUUCAGUAUGUGGAUGCUGCAUCCAGAUUCCAUUUUAAGGCAGCCAUCUGUCCUUUAGCAAGCAAAAUAACAGAAGAUUUAUACCUUAAUAAAAUCACACACAUAAGUGCACCCCACACUCCUUCAUGUGCCCUCCAUGUAAUUUCACAUUUGUUAGUGAAUUUUCUGUAGUAUUUUUCUAGCUUUAAGACUAUUUGAGGUGAAGUUCUGGACCUGCUAAGCCUGAGCACAAGGGUUUUAGCAUAAUAUAUUUGGACUCAUGAUUUUCAGUAAAUCUUCAUAGAUUGACAUGAAUGUCAUGAAAUUUAAAAGAUUAAGAAACAUUCCUUCUCUAUUUUUCCAGGCCUGUACAGACUAAUAUUUGUUUAGCACUGCAGAGCUUAUAAAACCUUCUCCCUUCUUAUUUAAUUUAUAUAUCCAGACCUACCUGCGGAGUUGCUUAAGGUCAGAAAAUCCACUAGCAAAGAAGCCAGGGCUCAAAAUAAUAGGUUAUUUCUCCAAAUUCCUUGGUUUUCUCAUCAUCCUGCACAGUCACCUAUUAAGCUAUGUACUGAAUUAUUCUAUAUUAUUUUACUUAAUUAUUGAUAAUAAUACUUUAUUGAACCUUUAUUUUGUGCCAUGCAUUUUUACUUUAUAUUUUGAAUAAGUAAUUCUGCUUAAUCCUUACAAUAACCUGAUGAUGUAGACACCGUUUUUAAAAAUAUACUCUCUAAUAUAAGAAGUUAUAGAAACAAUUGUCUACAUGCAGAAUAUAUGCCCACAUUCUUUCUCAAAUACAAAUGAACAGAAUCACUUUAUUUUUCUUUUUGUAGUAAAGAAAAUUUAAUAAUUUUUUAAAGUUAGUGUAACAAAUUUACUAUGUUUUAAAAAGUAAAGUUUUAAAACUGUAUAAACUCAGAACACUAAUUUGUUUGCUAAUUAAUUUGCAUUUCUAAAUGAUACUGUCCUCUUCUUUUAACUUCCUGUUAACUCAAGUUAAUAUUUGACUUUUCUAUUUGACUUUCAUAAUUCUGAAGCAUAAAAGUAUAAAAAUAUUGGGUAGGAACUAUUUUUCAUCCUCCAUAUAAUAAAACAUUUCAACUAGUUGACCUUUCACUCAGUAAGUAAUAUUGAGUGUCUAUCAUGUGCUGGACACUGUUAUGAGCACCAGAACUAAAGCAGAGAAAACACAGACCAAAAAACCUCCCCUCAUACAGUGUCUUCUCUAGUGGAGUCAUCGAUUGUUUUCAUGCAUUACUAUUCUCUUGUCAUUGUAUGAAAAGCUGGCAUAUCUUUCUGUUGGUGAUCUGGAAGGUGAUUGGGUCAUUUAUAAACAUGUGUAUUCUAGAGCCCUGCUACUCAAAUUGCAACCUACAGACCACCAGCACUGACAUCAUUUUGUUAGAGAUGCCAAACCUCAGGGCCCAUAACAGAUCUACUGAAUACAAAUCUACAUUUAAACUAGAUCCCAAGGUAAUUUUUGUUCACACUGAAAUUUAAGAAGUGCUACUGUAUAGGUAUUCGAUAAAUGUUUUCACCUGAGAUAUGUUUAUCUCUAGGUGGUCCUCAAACCACCUUUGUGAUAUACAAAUGCAUCAAAAUGUGUCUUCAAUUUGACCAUAACACAUUCAGUCUCUCUUACAGUUGCAAAGAGCCAACAACUAAUGAUUUUUUUAUUGAAUGAAUAAAAAAUGAUCAAACAAAUUUCACUUAUACUAUAUAUUUAAAAAGUAACUUCAAUUAAGUUAGCAAUUUUGAAUUAUGCAAUUUAUUACAAUGGGGAACAAUAUACUCUGUUCACAUAAAAUCCUUUUUUUAUCUAUACACUGUAGAACCUGAUAUAUAAUGAAUGCUAAAGCUGUCAAAAGUUAAGUAUUCCCCUAAACUUAAAAAUAUAGACAUCUAUGUUACGUUCCUGUCUACCUGUAUUUCUUGACAUUGUUAAAAAAAAAAGGAUAAGCUUUUUUUAAACUAAUAUACCACUGCUUCUACAGAAAUUGACGUAUAACCCACAGAAAUAUAUUCGCUGUUUGCCUUACCUUUUGCACUCUACAUACCAAGCAAACAAAAUUUGCACACACUUGCACUAGCAGCUUUGCAUCUAUCUAUUUUUAGGACAGACAGCUACAUCUUUCUCUCUGCACUGCAGGGAAACUGAACAUUUGUGGGAAAGUGUAGUGCAUUAAUCCUGUUUAAUAUUCCAGGACUCACACAGACAAUUAAUUGUGUACUGAAAAGGCAGACUAAUAAAUUUUUCUUCUUCAAAACACAGUAAAUAAGUUUAAUUGUAUUUUUCUCACAAACUGUUGUAAGAUCAAAUAGAUAAAUCAAAUAAAUUGUGAAAAUGACCAAUGUUUGAAUGUCAUAUUCUUUCCUUAUUAUAUUUUUUCUUCCAUGUGUAAUUUGCUUAUUGUAAUCAAUUUUUGAAAAGUUGAAAAAAAAGUGCAACAAAAUGUAUAAAUUAUAUGUGUUCUAUGAUUCUGCACCAUGAAAAUAUAUGUAACUUUUUAUCUGUGGCAUGAUUAUGAAACCUUUUGAGUGUAAAUCUGUUUUUUUAACUUUUUAUUUUGUAAUAAAUAAAGACCUAGAGAAGAUAGCAAAGAGGGGAAAAGACAGUCCCAUAUAUCCAUCACCUGGUCCCAUCUUAGCUUUCCCUAAUACUAGCAUCUUCAUAACCAUGGGACAAUAAUCACACUUAAGAUACUGGCAUUGAUAUACUGCUACUAAUUAAGCUACAGACAUUGUUCAGAUUUUCUCAGUUUUUCUACUUAUGUGUUUCCUAUUUUUAUGUUUAGGAUCAAAUCUAAGCUAUCAUAUUAUGUAUAGUUGGCAAGUAUUCAUUGUCUUCUCUAAUUUGUGACAUUUUCUCCAUCUUUGUUUUUCAUGGCCUGGCUUUUUUUUAAAGAAUACUUGCAGUUGUGUAAUUAAAUGUCCUUCAAUUUAUUUUUGGCUGCUGUUUUCUCAUAUUAGAUGUAGGGUAUGCAUUUUGGGGAAGCAUAGCAUAGAAAUGAUAUGCCCUUCUCCUUCCCUUCUUCUUCUUUGUGUCAGGGAAUACAUGAUAAUCACUGUCUUACUACUGGUAAUGUUAACCUUGAUAUCUUGGUAAAAGCAGCAUCCAUUAGGUUCCUUCUCUCCACUGUAGAGUUGCUUUUUUUAAACCUGCUGUACUCUAUUAGAAGUGAGAAAGUAAGUACACAGCCCAUACCCAAAGACAGGGAAAUCAAGCUCACCUCUUGAAGGAACCAUAGAAGUCACCAUAUUAGCAAAUAUUUUAGAGAAGAAGCUUUAAGGACAUGCAAAUAUCCUAUUUCUUCUUAAAGUUUCUUAAGUUUCUUCCACUAAUUCUAGCAGUCGUCUCUUGCAUGCGGCAUUGUUUACUGUGAUGCUUUUGGGGUGAUUUUUGUACUCCUUCACUCCUACAUGUAUUCGAAUUCUUCUGGAAGUUAAAGUUGCUCCUUUCUCCUGACUUAUUUAUUGACUUAUUUUCUUAUAUCGCUAUAGAUUCAAGAGAAUUUUAUUCUUUGAGUUAUAAUCCAAGACUGUCAUUAUGUACUUUAUGGCUCAAAUUGUUCCUGAGUUAAUCUGUGGGAACUUUUUCUAGUUGACUUCUGUGUGGUGGUCCUCCUGCUCUUCUGCCUCCUUCUCCUCCUCCUCUUCCACUUCCUCCUCCUCCUCCUCCAUUGGCUUCUGGGUGGUGAUCCUCCUGCUCCUCCUCCUUUCUCCUCCCUCUUUUCCCUCCCCUUUCUUCCUCCUCCCGUUCUCCUUCUCCUUCCCCUUCUCUCUCCUCUUUCUCCUUUUUCUCUCCUCUUGUCAAUUAGUAUAUUUUAAAGAUUCUACCUUACCUCCUGGCUUGGCAACUUGUUUUGGGUUUGUCUUGUCUUUCCCUGCUACAACCCUAGCACCAAUAGUUUCUCCAAGAAACCCUGGUUCAAUUAAUUAGAGAAUUAUAUUUAGAAACUAUAAUAUGGGUUCUAGGUGUUUUCUUUGCUGGUGGGGAGCCUGCUUCUAGGUUCUCCGUGUUUUGGACUAAGAAAUGUAUAUAUGUAUACUAAGUCAUAUAUAUACACAUAUCUGUGCCUAUUUCUGUAUCUAUGCAUAUAUUAUAAUAAACGUGUUCAUACUGAUAUCUCCAAGUUCAACCCAGCACUACAUCUAUCAUUCCCCUUUAUUUACAACCUCUUUCUCCUACAGUAAAAAAAUGUGGCUCACAUUAUCUAUAUUAUAUUUAAACAUUUGUUCAACAAUAAUAUGUUAAGUAUAGUGGUUCAGAAUUGCUGAUCUAUAACCUUUAGGCUAUUUUUUUUCACAAAGGCACAGUAUUUGGAUACAAUCAUACUUGCCUUUUGUCUUACGGUAUCUAGUAAAAAAAAACCACCAUUUUAUGAGUUACUUGAGGUAGCUUUUUUAUUCUCCUCUUGCUUCACUGUGAUUAUAUCACACAUUAGCAAUAUAGUCAGAUAUAUUGGCCAAAGUCUGUAUUUCGUAUUAGGUUUCUCCGGUCAAUUGGGUUUCUCAAAACUUUGUAUACAGUAAAAUUCACUCUUUUGGGUGGAUAGUUCCGUAUGUUUGACAAACGCAUUGAUAUAUGUGUCUACCACCACAAUAUCAUACGGAAUAACUUUAUUAUCUCCAAAAGGCUCUUGUGUUGCUUCUUUGUAGUCAACUCGUCUUCCUGCAUUCAAUUCUUAGCAAUCACUGACUUGUUUUCUGUCUCUAUAGUUUGCCUUUUCAGAAUGUCAUAUAAUUGAAAUCAUACAAUUGGGGCUUGUUCCUUUCAUGGUAAAAUGCAUUGAAAAUGCAUCCAUGUUGUGUAAAUCCAUGUUAAUUAUUUUUUAUAG
rnacentral:lncRNA from 10 species